ACAGACUGAAAAUGAACCCAGGUGUAACAGUGAUCUGGGUUCAGAUAACUGUGCCUACAGUACUGUGGUGCAUUUAAGCUUAUUGCAUGUCUCCUGGUGACUAUGUGAUAAAACCCUUGUACCAACAUAC